ACGAGCAUUAAAAAAGCAUCAAUUUAUGAAAUGGGUGUGAGAUUCUUUGGGGGGAUUUAUGCAAUUUGCUCAGAUAUGUCAGCCGCACUUGUAGACAAUAUACAGAGGACUUCCAUGCUAUGGAAGAUCGGGUGAGUAAAUGUUGCAAUUUGCUCAGAUAUGUCAGCCGCACCUGUAGACAAUAUACAGAGGACUUCCAUGCUAAGGAAGAUCGGGGAGAUAUGGGUAGAAAAGCAUCAAUUCAUGAAAUGGGUGUAUAUUCAUUUUGGGGAUUUAUGCAAUUUGCUCAUAUAUGUCAGCCUCACUUGUAGACAAAACAAUGGACAAUAUACAAAGCACUUCCAGGAUGAGGAAGAUCGGGUUCUAACUUGUUGAGCUCUCUGAUGCAGCUCCUGAUUCCGAUUACACUUGUCACACUCUUUUUCUGGCCGGGUCUGCAAGGAAUGCUUACUUGUCUUCAAGUGUAAUUAGUUGCUUCAACUACUCUGUUUAUGAAUCUAUUGUUAGUGCAGUGCUUUUGUUAGUGCUGCCUUUCCAUUUAUUCUUUGGAAUUUAUAUUCAUGGAUUUGUUAUAUCUGAACAGGCUUUUAUAAAUUCAGUGUGUUGAAGAUUCAGAUUGUUAAUUUUCUUUAGUGUACUAAAUAUUUAAAAUAUUAGACACUGAUGCCUAUAAAAGCCUGGAUCAUAGUGAUCUCACUUUCAAGGCUGGAUGGAAUGAUAUACUUAGGAUGGACGAGAAAAGAAGCUUGAAUCUAAAAUAAGCAUAUUUUUUCAGGAUUCAACUCUUGAUCCAAAAAGAACAGCAUAUCUUUUUCAAAACCUUAUGAAUAGUUCAGUUUAUGGUGUGACUGUGACACUCUCAUUAAUCUUAUUCCAACUAUUUAGAUUAAUAUGAUUUGUGUAAAUAUUGUGAUAUAUAAAUGGGUAAUUUUAGUCGGUGAAUAGCGUCUCAACAGAAGUUUCUUCAGGCAACAACUGGUGAAAGUUCAAGUUAUUUCAUGGUUUGGAGAAACAAAUAUUUGGGAGUAAGCAUUAAGAAACAAAUUCAAAUUCCGUUCUGCUUGCUGUGGCAAGUUAUUUACAUGCAGAUUUUGUAAAUAAUGUUUGCUUGAUUGUCUAUAUAAUAUUUUUAAUGUCAAUAUUUAUUUGCAGGAAAGCUACGGCUGAAAUAUUGUGUACGCAGUGCUUGAAAAAUCAGCCUUUUGGGCUAGUUUGCUCAAUUCCUUCCUAUGGUGGAUUAUCGAUAGCAGAGUGGUAAAAAAUUUCGAUGAUAAAAGGCAUACACUUGCAGUCGCCCAAUUUGUUACACUAUUAUGAAGAUCCAUUGACAAUUGGCUGGUUGGACAAGAACUAUAUUAUGUGCUGAUGGAGUUCUCACUCUUGUUUGGCGAGAAGAAUGAGCUUCGUGAUGAGAAGCAGAGGCUCAAGGCGGACAUAGAGAAGUUGGUGUGCAGUUACUUCAAGAAAUAGGAAUAUAUUCCAGGUAAAAUAAAACUUGGCCACAGAAAUCACUCAACAGCAUUGCUCACGAAGAAUUUAUCUGAUGAUUGUUAUGCCUGAAGCAUCACCAUUAUGAUGCUGAAUCCCAUUAGGAUGUUGACAAGAAAACUCCCUUUGACCUUUGUGAGCUGAUGAGGAUGGUGGUUCAGUUGAAGAUCCAGUCGAAGAGGUUCAAGUGGAUUCGGUUGAAGGAAUAAUAGAUGAUGAUGCAGAACUACCCAAAGGCGACUCAGAUGGCGAUGAAGGGAGCAUUGUAUUUGUAGGAGUGGACUCUGGCGCUUGUGUUGGUGAGGAAGCCGAAGUACUUUCUGGAGUUGGAGUAGGAUUGUACGAAC